ACUAUUUUGGCAGAAAAAUGUAAUAAUUUUAGAAAUUAUAAAUAUAUAAUAAUUUAUUAUAUAGAUAGUA
rnacentral:tRNA from 1 species